GACGAACGCUGGCGGCGUGCCUAAUACAUGCCAGUCGAACGCAUUUUCUUUCACCGUAGCUUGCUACACCGAAAGAAAAUGAGUGGCGAACGGGUGAGUAACACGUGGGUAACCUGCCCAUCAGCGGGGGAUAACACUUGGAAACAGGUGCUAAUACCGCAUAAUUCCAUUUACUGCAUGGUAGAUGGAUGAAAGGCGCUUUUGCGUCACUGAUGGAUGGACCCGCGGUGCAUUAGCUAGUUGGUGGGGUAACGGCCUACCAAGGCUGCGAUGCAUAGCCGACCUGAGAGGGUGAUCGGCCACACUGGGACUGAGACACGGCCCAGACUCCUACGGGAGGCAGCAGUAGGGAAUCUUCGGCAAUGGACGCAAGUCUGACCGAGCAACGCCGCGUGAGUGAAGAAGGUUUUCGGAUCGUAAAACUCUGUUGUUAGAAAAGAACAAGGAUGAGAGUGGAAAGUUCAUCCCUUGACGGUAGCUAACCAGAAAGCCACGGCUAACUACGUG
rnacentral:rRNA from 1 species